UCUCUGUGAAUUCACAGAAGGUGACUCGUCACAACACUUCAAUGAGGAGCUGUGAAUGGACGGAGUUAUGAAACUGUCCUCCACGCCUCCAGCCAGGAGUACCAUGAGAGGUGAGAGGUAACUGCCCUGAGCAACAGCCUCAACAGAAGGGUGCUUUAAAUCUAUUGCCAACCAGAAAUGGACCAUCCUGCUGUAGAACAUCUCAGAUGAUGCCCACGUAGUGCAGACAGAAAACCACCAUUCAGAUCAUGCCAAGUCACAAACAACGUAUUCCACAACUCUGACACAGAAGACGAUGGACAGAAAGACAAAUGAGUUGACCAGACAAUGGAUCAGGAUUCUAACAGUCAUCUCUGCGGGGUUAUACUGAAGCAGCUCAUCAGGGAGUUCAGUUUGGGUAAAGCCCUGGCUGCCAUUUCACAUGGCCUACAC
rnacentral:lncRNA from 1 species